rnacentral:ncRNA from 2 species
CCACAGAUGUUCCUGUAAGGUGUUCAUUGGAUGCAAAGCAUUCGGAACUGAAACGGGAAUUUGGUGCGGGUGACCCAUAUCGGGACCCAAAACCAAAGCCGCCCCCGCGACUGUAAGCGGUUUGGGUCUGUCAUAUACCACUGGGAAACCGGGAAGGAGACAGAUCAUCAUGCCGCCAGCCAGGAGACCGGCCUGCAAGACCAAUAACCC